UCACCAACAAUGUGGGUCUGACCUAUUCGUAAGUAAAGACCACCAGGUGACCACGUCAAAAAGCACAUGAAAAAACAAACAACAAAAGUAAAGAAUAGAUCAUAAUAAAUGGCAAAAAGUAAACCCAAAAUAGUUUAUUUUUCCUUUUAUUUCUGAUUGGUCACCCGGUGGUCAUUACUUAUAGAUGGGUCACACCCACAUUGUUGGUG